GAUGAACGCUGGCGGCGUGCCUAAUACAUGCAAGUCGAGCGAACAGACGAGGAGCUUGCUUCUCUGACGUUAGCGGCGGACGGGUGAGUAACACGUGGAUAACCUACCUAUAAGACUGGGAUAACUUCGGGAAACCGGAGCUAAUACCGGAUAAUAUUUUGAACCGCAUGGUUCAAUAGUGAAAGACGGUCUUGCUGUCGCUUAUAGAUGGAUCCGCGCCGCAUUAGCUAGUUGGUAAGGUAACGGCUUACCAAGGCAACGAUGCAUAGCCGACCUGAGAGGGUGAUCGGCCACACUGGAACUGAGACACGGUCCAGACUCCUACGGGAGGCAGCAGUAGGGAAUCUUCCGCAAUGGGCGAAAGCCUGACGGAGCAACGCCGCGUGAGUGAUGAAGGUCUUCGGAUCGUAAAACUCUGUUAUUAGGGAAGAACAAAUGUGUAAGUAACUGUGCACGUCUUGACGGUACCUAAUCAGAAAGCCACGGCUAACUACGUG
rnacentral:rRNA from 1 species